UGGUUAAUGAGAAUGUUUGCACCUGCAGCUUCAGCUUUAAAAUUACCACUUCUCAAAAAAGGCUCAAAUUUACAGUGUGCAUACACUCACGCAGAGCCAUUCCAGCCUCUUCAGAUAACAGAACCUCAGAACAAACUAGUAACAGACCGAAAAGAACCAUGAUAAGUCGCAGAACAGUUUAUUUUGUAUGCUUUGCAUUGCUCUUCGGAACGACAGCUGCUGAAGCCAUAGAUGAGAACAACACAACAACAGACACAAUAGAAGUCAAAACAACAGAAGACCCACCAUUCACAGGAAAAGAAUUCACACCAGUCACAAAAACAGAAGACACAACUACUAUAACAGGCAAAAAUGGCACCAUAUCAACAUCCAACAUUAAUAGGCAGACAACCAAACUAAACCCUGCAGCGACAACAAAUAAACAACCAGUAUGCACUCAGGCCACUCAUAAACCCAAGGAAGGACACUGUAUUUUCUCUCUACCAACUGAUAACGUUACCCUGCUACUGAUUGUGGUUGGUCUAACAGUGGGCUGCUUGGCAUUGUUGCUGACCACACUGAUAUGCGCCUGCCAGGUUUGUCACCUGAGACGAAUUAUCUCUAGUCUCCAGCUUCAUUAUGACAACAUUGCCGUAAGUGAGAAGAGUGAAUUGCCAUGCAGGGAUGAAGGCCAAGCGGACGGGCAGCUAACUGAGACCUGCCUUAUGCUAUCAGAGGUCACCGCAGCACAAGAGGAGAGUAGAGAGGAUGAGGGGAACAAUACUGAGUCCUGCACUGAGCCGCCUGUGAAGGACUCAAAAGUAGAUGUCACCCAAGAGAACAGUCUUGAGCCUGAUGCAAAAGCACCAGAGAGCUCCGACACAGGGGUGUGAUCACGAUCAGACACUUAACAAAUGGGUGUCCCACAACUCCCCCUGGUGGCAUUUAAAGUCUGCACCUGCUUAAGCUUAAACUGUUAUCUAAUGCAUAAGACUCAGGAAGAAGGUCUGAAAUCUGAACGUAUAAAAUUAGAUAUAUAUAAAAAGCACUGAAAAUACCGCAAAUAAGCCUUUGUCACUCUCAACAUUGUUUUUCUUCAUUUAGUCUUUAACAAUAUUGUAUGGCCAUGUUUCAAAUGUGUGCAUUUAUGUUGUCUGUAUUUUAAAUAAUAUAUCUGUAUUUUGUUCACAAUGCAAAAAAAAUCCUUAAACAACCUUAAAUGAGAUAUAUGUAGUUGAAAAACAAAAACAUGCAUAAGACUAUUUUUUUUGGGAGUAUAUCUAUUUAUUGGUUUUAUUUUUAUGCUUAAAACAACUAUUUACCAAUAUGGUAAGAAUUAUUUUUUAAUGAAUUAUAAUUCUUUUCUCUGAAAACAAUCAGAUCCAAUUUUACGAGUAAGCUUAUCUUGUUUUAAGGAUGUUCAAAUAGUUUUUAGUAAAAAAAAUUUAAAAAAAAGAUUAGAAAAUGACUGUGUGUAGUUUUGUGUUUUUGAGAAAUAAAACAAUUCAAACCUUGAAACUA